GAUGAACGCUAGCGGGAGGCCUAACACAUGCAAGCCGAGCGGUAUUUGUUCUUCGGAACAGAGAGAGCGGCGCACGGGUGCGGAACACGUGUGCAACCUGCCUUUAUCUGGGGGAUAGCCUUUCGAAAGGAAGACUAAUACCCCAUAAUAUAUUGAGUGGCAUCACUUGAUAUUGAAAACUCCGGUGGAUAGAGAUGGGCACGCGCAAGAUUAGAUAGUUGGUGAGGUAACGGCUCACCAAGUCAAUGAUCUUUAGGGGGCCUGAGAGGGUGAUCCCCCACACUGGUACUGAGACACGGACCAGACUCCUACGGGAGGCAGCAGUGAGGAAUAUUGGACAAUGGGUUAGCGCCUGAUCCAGCCAUCCCGCGUGAAGGACGACGGCCCUAUGGGUUGUAAACUUCUUUUGUAUAGGGAUAAACCUACUCUCGUGAGAGUAGCUGAAGGUACUAUACGAAUAAGCACCGGCUAACUCCGUG
rnacentral:rRNA from 1 species